rnacentral:rRNA from 1 species
CACUAGUAAUCGCGGAUCAGCAUGCCGCGGUGAAUGCGUUCUCGGGCCUUGUACACACCGCCCGUCACACCAUGAGAGUCGGGAACACCCGAAGUCCGUAGCCUAACCGCAAGGGGGCGCGGCCGAAGGUGGGUUCGAUAAUUGGGGUGAAGUCGUAACAAGGUACC